GAUGAACGCUGGCGGCGUGCCUAAUACAUGCAAGUCGAGCGAACAGAUAAGGAGCUUGCUCCUUUGACGUUAGCGGCGGACGGGUGAGUAACACGUGGGUAACCUACCUAUAAGACUGGGAUAACUUCGGGAAACCGGAGCUAAUACCGGAUAACAUUUGGAACCGCAUGGUUCUAAAGUGAAAGAUGGUUUUGCUAUCACUUAUAGAUGGACCCGCGCCGUAUUAGCUAGUUGGUAAGGCAACGGCUUACCAAGGCGACGAUACGUAGCCGACCUGAGAGGGUGAUCGGCCACACUGGAACUGAGACACGGUCCAGACUCCUACGGGAGGCAGCAGUAGGGAAUCUUCCGCAAUGGGCGAAAGCCUGACGGAGCAACGCCGCGUGAGUGAUGAAGGGUUUCGGCUCGUAAAACUCUGUUAUUAGGGAAGAACAAACGUGUAAGUAACUGUGCACGUCUUGACGGUACCUAAUCAGAAAGCCACGGCUAACUACGUG
rnacentral:rRNA from 1 species